rnacentral:tRNA from 1 species
GGCUAUAGCUCAGUGGUAGAGUGCUUGUCUUGAACGUGUGAGGCACUGGGUUUGAUCCUCAGUACCA